rnacentral:rRNA from 1 species
AUUGAACGCUGGCGGCAGGCCUAACACAUGCAAGUCGAGCGGAUGAAGGGAGCUUGCUCCUGGAUUCAGCGGCGGACGGGUGAGUAAUGCCUAGGAAUCUGCCUGGUAGUGGGGGAUAACGUCCGGAAACGGGCGCUAAUACCGCAUACGUCCUGAGGGAGAAAGUGGGGGAUCCUCGGACCUCACGCUAUCAGAUGAGCCUAGGUCGGAUUAGCUAGUUGGUGGGGUAAAGACCUACCAAGGCGACGAUCCGUAACUGGUCUGAGAGGAUGAUCAGUCACACUGGAACUGAGACACGGUCCAGACUCCUACGGGAGGCAGCAGUGGGGAAUAUUGGACAAUGGGCGAAAGCCUGAUCCAGCCAUGCCGCGUGUGUGAAGAAGGUCUUCGGAUUGUAAAGCACUUUAAGUUGGGAGGAAGGGCAGUAAGUUAAUACCUUGCUGUUUUGACGUUACCAACAGAAUAAGCACCGGCUAACUUCGUG